UGUCACUGUGCCAAUGGCACGAAUGUCGAGUGCGCCAACCACUUGUCUUAACGUGCGCGCUUACUAAGGGCAAAGCACUGCUCCAAGCAAAAAGGACAGGGCCCUGCGAGGGGCUGAGCUUCUCCUGAGAGUCACAGCAAGUUCACAACAAGUGAGGUCAUUUCAGACAGUAAGUGUCACAGACAAAGUUGUGCAAUGAGGUAAUGGUGGGGUGGUGGUUGCUUUAUCCAGAACGGUCAGGAAGCGUCUGUUGCUGAGCCAUUUCUUGCAGCCAUCUGCAUGGUGAAGUGGUAGCCAUGAGAAUGGCUGGAAAGUGGGUGCUUCAAGGGCCAGGAACGGAAGGCCAAGGCCCAGCCAGGAACACCUGGGCCUGCUCCAGGGAAGGAAGGGAGCCUGAGCAGCUGGACUGUGGUCAGGGAGGCAGGGAGAGGGAGAUGAGGUCACGGGUGGGGCAGGUGUUAGGUCCCAGGGACUUUGUAGGAGUUUGGAUUUUUUUCUUGUUGCAAGAAGAAGCCACUGGGAAGAUUUUUUUAAAAAAAAAUCUGAGAUAAAUCAUUUAUUUUCAGAAAAGGCAAACUCCUAUAGUUGUAUGUACAACAGGAGAACACUCAACAAAGUAAUUAGUUUUUAAAAUCUUGUUUACACCAAGGUAUGACAGAUUAACAUAACCCAUUUCUUAGCUUUAAUUGUCAUUAUUUAUUUUUCAAACAAUUCUAUGAGAUAUAAAGCAAAUAUAUUCAUUUUUCAUAAAGAAAUAUUUUUAAACAUUUAUUGUAUUAUUUUUAUAUUUAUUUGCCAGAUGCAUUAAAUGAGGCAAAAAUACAAACCAUUUUGCUUUUGUUUCUGGACUUACCAUGGGGUGAGGACCCAGGAAACCCAUCUGCAGUUGAAAAUGCCAUAAGAGAAACAAGUGCUAACACACCUACCCACUCAGGGCACACCUAGCAACAGUACCCCGUGACUGAGAGGCUGACUGGCGCUCACUGCUGAUCUUGUUACCACUGGUCCAGGAAAAGCUCAGGAUUCAGAAUGUGAAUCAUGGCUCCUACUGAACACACACCACUUUGGCACCCCUGUAAAGCUGACUCCCCAAAGUUGGGGAUCAUGGGUGCUGGAGGGCAAGAGCUGUGCUGGAUCUACUGACCUUGAACCUCCCGUCUGGUGGGGACCUUCCCAGGUGACCAGGAGAGCUGCAGUGAGCUGAACGGUGACCUCCAAGACGCAUGUUCACUGGGAACCUCAGCACGUGCCCUUGUCUGGAAACAGGGUCUUUGCAGAUGUAGUAAAGUAAAGAUGGAGAUGAAGUCAUCCUGGAUUAGGGUGGGCUCUGAGUCCCUGGAGAGUGUCCUCAGGAGAGACAGACAAGGGCACACAGAGUCCUACAGAGAAGGGAACCUGAUGGUGGAGGGAGUGAUGUCUGUGAGCCUGGAAACACCAAGGGAGCCCCGGGACCCUUGUUCCCCGGGGUCUCCAGAAGGAGCCAACCUUGUGGAUACCUGGGUUCUGGACUUCUGGCCUCCUGAACUGGGAGAAACAAGCAGUUUUUUGCACCACUGGGUUUGUGGCACUCCAUGAAUACAGGAGUGGUGUGAUCUGAUGGGUGCUGUAGAUCAUCAAGGCUGUGGUCCAGAGGUGAACUCCUGGCCCAGGCCAGGGCAGCAGGCUGGGGUUGCAGUAGUCCAGUCUGAGAUGAAAUGCUCAGAUGUGGCCGUGCUGGUCAGGUGCUGAGAAGCCCUGGGGCUCAAGGUGUGCUGGGAAGUAGGCCUUGACUUUACCUGUGGGGUGGACGUGGUGGGAAGGCUCAGAUGGGGUUUGUGGUCUACACCAUAGUCAGGAUUUGUGGGGCUGCUGCUUGGGGACCUGAGUUGGGAGGGAGAAUGAUGGUUUGCUUGUGCCAAGGGAGGGAUUCCUGUUGGAACCAAGGUGGAGGUACCUAGCUGGCAGGUGGACUGUACCCGUCGAGGGCUUUAGGGAGAAGUCGGCUUAGGGAGGAGGCCCCUGGGAAAGUCAUCUGUACAGGGCGAUAUCUGUCUGGGGACUAAAGGAGAGAAUAGAUGUGGGAGAGGGAACAGGCAAUGUCAGUGUCCAGGGGACUAGAGUGAAGGCCAGCACAUGGGAAGGGACGGGAGAAAUCCAGGUGCAGGUGGACCGUGUAAGUCUCCUGGAGCAGGUAUUUCCAGAAGGGAGGGUCGAGUGUGAACAAGACAAAGUGUCUGCCCUGGCUCCGGGUGGCUGUCACCUAUGCAGGGAGGAGGGGCCACAGAUACUUGACUGGGAGGUGAGGGUGGGAUAGCUGCCUCCGAAGCUCUUGGGAGAAGUUUCCCUCUGGAAGGAAGCAUAGAAAUGGCUCAGAGAUGGUGUGGGACCUGGGGAGAAAAGGGGCCAUGGCAGGGAGCUGUCCUUGAGGAGCUGGGGUGUGGCUCGGGAGUGUGCAGGGCUGUCCUGCAGCUGUAUCCAAGGAAGUCAGAUGGGGACCCUGCAGUGAGGGUCGACCCCCUGCAGCCCCUGUGGGAAGGCACCCCCAGCUUCAGACACAUUUGUUUCUGAACAUACCUCUUUGUUGAGGGCUGAGGACCACUGCAUGCCUACCUUCCAUGACCACCCACCCUUCUGCAGGGCAUGGGGGAGUCUCUCUGCCAUACCCUUCUAAGACCAGGGCCUGAUGGCAUUCCUGUCCCUGGGAAGGUGGGCUACUUCUUGCUCCUCCUCUUUGAAAUAAAGCUAAUGGCAAAACCCUUCCAGGCUUCUCAUUAGAGACUGGGCACCUCCCUCUGCACUCACCCUUGAGGGGCUCUCAGACUUCCCUCUUGCCCCAGUGCCCUUAUGGGGUUUAUCUUGGGGACCACUGUUUCUCACAUGGAUUCUUCCUUAAGAAAGAGAGAAAAAAGCUUCCCUAAGUUUAACCUUAACUAAUAAAAUGAUCUGGUUUGCCCUCUUUAAAAAAAUGAUUUAUAAUUUUUAUUAUGAGUUAUUUUUUCCUCCACAUUUUUAAUGAUACGUUGUAGUUGUACAUAAUGGUGGGGUUUGUUGCUAUAAUUAGUACAUGCACACAGCAGUUUUACUUCAUAGAACAUUUUUUUUUUUUUUUGGAGUUUGCGUAGUCCCCUAGUCCCACAAAAUAUCCUGUCCCUGGGACAGUGGGACCAGUUUUGGACAUCCUGCAUAUGAAAGGGUCAAAAAGUUCUGCAGCUAAAAACACCUUUGUCUCUGUUUUAUCCAACAUUUCUCAAACAUAUUUGACCCCCAAACAGUGCCCACCACAAUAUUUUUUUGGGAAAUUUCUGCUUAUAUAGCCAGUUUAUAAGAAAUACAGUAAUUUUCAUUUUUCACCUGAUCCAAAGGACCUUUUAAAAUAUUUUUAGUAAUUUUACAAGUAAUUUGAAGAAGUAAGAAUGAAAGGAGGUGAAAAACAGCUCUAAUGGGAAUUUUGACACUGGAAUUGAACCACACAGGUUCAGUUUCUGCUCCGUGUUCUGGUUUUGAAGGUGCACAGGCCCUGGGUGGGCCCGACUCUGGAUCACAUUUCCAAGAUGGGAAACACUGAGUCAGCCUUCCAGUGAUCUCUAGAAGGUUCUUGCUUCUGCCUCUCUGGCUACCUGAAUUGUGAAAGCAUGUAGGAAUCAUUUGAAGUCUUCCAUAACAUAUUUUUCUUAAAAGGAAGAUGGUCAUUUUUGCUUCAUAAUUGCAAAACAUUUUCAUUUUUGGGUCUAUAAAUACCAAUCAAGAUGAUCAACCCAGCAUGACUACUGUUUUCCUGCCAGUCCUCUUUGUAUGCACACCUGCUUUCAACAUUUGCUACAAAACACAUCAAGUAGAUGUCAGGGUGCAAACCUCAUAAGAGGAAGAAGUACCCCACAUACUUUUUCAGCCAGAUGGCAUGGUCCAGGCUCUGGACAAAGAUUGGCAUGAUGCAGCCCUUCUAGGUGGAUGACCACCUGGAGAAUACCGUGCUUGCUUUUGGUCCACAGAAAUAUUUUAUUCUCCCAUCACGUUUUGAGUUAGAAAAACUCUUUGCGUCUGAUGUCACGUUUAGUCUUCGGGUCUGAGAUUGCCUUAUGUAAUCAAUUUCACCACUGUCACUGGAAUCUAGACACCUGUGAUCUCCUUGAGUCCAUCUGAUUUAUCUAAGAUUUGUGAAACAUCUUCCUUUAUUUUUCUCUUUGAUCUUAUAAACUGAAAGUAAAGAAAUUCAGAAUUUCCAACUGUGCCCAACGCAAACUAACUUCAGAUUAGAAAGAUGGGAUCUUUCACAUCUUGGCCUCUCGCCCAGCAACAGGACAGCAAGAAUGAGAAGACAGAAAUGGCUGUCUUCUCCCUCCAGUGCCUCAUUGUUUCUUUGAGAAUGAUUUGCAAUAGUUCAUGGAUAAUAAUGAAUUAGCAAGAACGUAUCAAGACACAGGGAAAAUAAUGACCCUCAGCUCAGCAGAGGUAGGUAAAAUAAUGACCCUAAGCUAAAUGUGGUGGCACAUGCCAUAAUCCCAGUAGUUUGGGAGGCUAAGGCAGGAGGA
rnacentral:lncRNA from 1 species